rnacentral:rRNA from 1 species
AACCUCCGCAAUGUGAGAAAUCGCGACGGGGGGAUCCCAAGUGCCAUUCUUAACGGGAUGGCUUUUCAUUAGUGUAAAGAGCUUUUGGAAUAAGAGCUGGGCAAGACCGGUGCCAGCCGCCGCGGUAACACCGGCAGCUCUAGUGGUAGCAAUUUUUAUUGGGCCUAAAGCGUCCGUAGCCGGUUUAAUAAGUCUCUGGUGAAAUCCUGUAGCUUAACUGUGGGAAUUGCUGGAGAUACUAUUAGACUUGAGACCGGGAGAGGUUAGAGGUACUCCCAGGGUGGAGGUGAAAUUCUGUAAUCCUGGGAGGACCGCCUGUUGCGAAGGCGUCUAACUGGAACGGUUCUGACGGUGAGGGACGAAAGUUAGGGGCGCGAGCCGGAUUAGAUACCCGGGUAGUCCUAACUGUAAACGAUGCGGACUUGGUGUUGGGGUGGCUUUGAGCUGUCUCAGUGCCGAAGGGAAGCUGUUAAGUCCGCCGCCUGGGAAGUACGGUCGCAAGACUGAAACUUAAAGGAAUU